rnacentral:rRNA from 1 species
GACGAACGCUGGCGGCGUGCCUAAUACAUGCAAGUAGAACGCUGAAGAGAGGAGCUUACUCUUCUUGGAUGAGUUGCGAACGGGUGAGUAACGCGUAGGUAACCUGCCUUGUAGCGGGGGAUAACUAUUGGAAACGAUAGCUAAUACCGCAUAACAAUGGAUGACACAUGUCAUUUAUUUGAAAGGGGCAAUUGCUCCACUACAAGAUGGACCUGCGUUGUAUUAGCUAGUAGGUGAGGUAAUGGCUCACCUAGGCGACGAUACAUAGCCGACCUGAGAGGGUGAGUGGCCCACACGGGAACGAGAACAGGCCCAGACCCCCAAGGGAGGGAGCCGGAGGGAAAUUUCGGCAAUGGGGGCAACCCUGACCGAGCAACGCCGGGGGAGGGAAGAAGGGUGUCGGAUCGGAAAGCUCUGUUGUAAGUCAAGAACGGGUGUGAGAGUGGAAAGUUCACACUGUGACGGUAGCUUACCAGAAAGGGACGGCUAACUACGUG